rnacentral:rRNA from 1 species
UACGUAGGGACCAAGCGUUGUCCGGAAUCAUUGGGCGUAAAGAGCGUGUAGGCGGCUUGUUAAGUCUUGCGUGAAAUCUCGGGGCUCAACCCCGAGCGGUCGUGAGAAACUGGCAGGCUAGAGUGCGGGAGAGGAGAGUGGAAUUCCUGGUGUAGCGGUGAAAUGCGCAGAUAUCAGGAAGAACACCCGUGGCGAAGGCGGCUCUCUGGAACGCAACUGACGCUGAGGAGCGAAAGCCAGGGGAGCAAACGGG